UGUCCUGUUUUAGUACCAUGCAUCUGCCCUUUAACGGAUGUGUGGCUAUGCUAACGGGAUAGAGAAAUUGUCCUUCAGUGUCUGAAGGGGUCGAGCAGUACCAUUUCUGCCUCCCCUAAUGAAAUGAUGGCACAGUGAAUA
ensembl:snoRNA small nucleolar RNA SNORA29